AUAUCUCUCUGUACGGGAAGGAUGAGAAGCUUCGACUAAGGUUCGAUUCGAGCGUCAGCGAGAAAGCGUUGCCGCAGGCAACGACCCG
rnacentral:sRNA from 5 species